CACCGCGGUUAUACGAGUGACACACAUUAAUACUCCACGGCGUAAAGGGUGAUUUAAAAACUUCUUAAUAUCAUUAAAGUUAAAACUUUAUAUAGCUGUCAUACGCACCCAUAAACAAGAAACUCACUAACGAAGGUGACUUUAUAAAAACUGAUUUUUUGACCUCACGACAAUUAAAACCCAAACUAGGAUUAGAUACCCUACUAUGUUUAAUUAUAAAUAGAUAAAUAUUUACUUCCUCAUCCGCCUGAGAACUACAAGCGCUAGCUUAAAACCCAAAGGACUUGGCGGCACUUCAGAUCUACCUAGAGGAGCCUGUUCUAUAACCGAUAAUCCACGUUAAACCCCUCCACUCCUUGCCUUAUAACCGCCUAUAUACCGCCGUCGCCAGCUCACCCUAUGAAGGAAUAAAAGUAAGCAAAAUGAACAUAAACUAUUCAACACGUCAGGUCGAGGUGUAGCGAAUGAAGUGGAAAGAAAUGGGCUACAUUUUCUUUUAAGAAAAAUCACGGAUAAUAAAUGAAAAACAAUUAAUAAGGUGGAUUUAACAGUAAGAAUAAAUAAGAAUUUUAUACUGAAGCCAGCUCUGAAGCGCGCACACACCGCCCGUCACUCUCCUCAAAACAAAAUUUACUUAAAUAAAAAAAUUAUAAACACAAGAGGAGGCAAGUCGUAA
rnacentral:rRNA from 1 species